rnacentral:rRNA from 1 species
UACGUAGGGUGCGAGCGUUAAUCGGAAUUACUGGGCGUAAAGCGUGCGCAGGCGGUUCGUUAAGUCAGAUGUGAAAGCCCCGGGCUCAACCUGGGAACUGCAUUUGAAACUGGCGGGCUUGAGUGUGGCAGAGGAGGGUGGAAUUCCGCGUGUAGCAGUGAAAUGCGUAGAGAUGCGGAGGAACACCGAUGGCGAAGGCAGCCCCCUGGGUUGACACUGACGCUCAGGCACGAAAGCGUGGGGAGCAAACAGG